rnacentral:rRNA from 1 species
CGGAGUGGACGCAUCACUGGUGUUCGGGUUGUCAUGCCAAUGGCAUUGCCCGGUAGCUAAAUGCGGAAGAGAUAAGUGCUGAAAGCAUCUAAGCACGAAACUUGCCCCGAGAUGAGUUCUCCCUGACCCUUUAAGGGUCCUGAAGGAACGUUGAAGACGACGACGUUGAUAGGCCGGGUGUGUAAGCGCAGCGAUGCGUUGAGCUAACCGGUACUAAUGAACCGUGAGGCUUAACCUUACAACGCCGAAGCUGUU